rnacentral:rRNA from 1 species
UACGUAGGUGGCGAGCGUUGUCCGGAUUUACUGGGCGUAAAGGGCGUGCAGGCGGUUUUUUAAGUCUAGGGUGAAAGCUCCCGGCUCAACUGGGAGAGGUCCUUGGAUACUGGAAAACUUGAGGGAUGCAGAGGAAAGUGGAAUUCCCGGUGUAGUGGUGAUAUGCGUAGAUAUCGGGAGGAACACCAGUGGCGAAGGCGGCUUUCUGGGCAUUUCCUGACGCUGAGACGCGAAAGCGUGGGGAGCGAACCGG